rnacentral:piRNA from 1 species
UUUGAUGUAGCAACAGCGACUGUCAC